GCGGAUGUAGCCAAGUGCUCAGCAGUGAUUGUGAAUCCACCAUGCGCGGGUUCAAUUCCGUCAUUCGCC
rnacentral:tRNA from 1 species